ACUCCUGCGGGAGGCAGCAGUGGGGAAUAUUGGACAAUGGGCGCAAGCCUGAUCCAGCCAUGCCGCGUGAGUGAUGAAGGCCCUAGGGUUGUAAAGCUCUUUCACCGGUGAAGAUAAUGACGGUAACCGGAGAAGAAGCCCCGGCUAACUUCGUGCCAGCAGCCGCGGUAAUACGAAGGGGGCUAGCGUUGUUCGGAUUUACUGGGCGUAAAGCGCACGUAGGCGGACUAUUAAGUCAGGGGUGAAAUCCCGGGGCUCAACCCCGGAACUGCCUUUGAUACUGGUAGUCUUGAGUUCGAGAGAGGUGAGUGGAAUUCCGAGCGUAGAGGUGAAAUUCGUAGAUAUUCGGAGGAACACCAGUGGCGAAGGCGGCUCACUGGCUCGAUACUGACGCUGAGGUGCGAAAGCGUGGGGAGCAAACAGGAUUAGAAACCCCGGUAGUCCCAUGA
rnacentral:rRNA from 1 species